UGGGGAAUUUUGGACAAUGGGCGAAAGCCUGAUCCAGCAAUGCCGCGUGUGUGAUGAAGGCCUUCGGGUUGUAAAGCACUUUUGGCGGGAACGAAACGGUUUGGGCCAAUACCCUGAACUAAUGACGGUACCCGCAGAAUAAGGACCGGCUAACUACGUGCCAGCAGCCGCGGUAAUACGUAGGGUCCAAGCGUUAAUCGGAAUUACUGGGCGUAAAGCGUGCGCAGGCGGUUUUGUAAGACCGAUGUGAAAUCCCCGGGCUCAACCUGGGAACUGCAUUGGUGACUGCAAGGCUUGAGUGUGUCAGAGGGAGGUGGAAUUCCGCGUGUAGCAGUGAAAUGCGUAGAUAUGCGGAGGAACACCGAUGGCGAAGGCAGCCUCCUGGGAUAACACUGACGCUCAUGCACGAAAGCGUGGGGAGCAAACA
rnacentral:rRNA from 1 species